UACCCGUACCGUAAACCGACACAGGUGGAUGAGGAGAGAAUCCUAAGGCCGACGGGAGAAGCAUUGUUAAGGAACUCGGCAAAAUGACUCCGUAACUUCGGGAGAAGGAGUGCCAGUGAGAGCUGGCCGCAGAGAAUUGGCCCAAGCAACUGUUUAGCAAAAACACAGGUCUAUGCAAAACCGAAAGGUGAAGUAUAUGGGCUGACGCCUGCCCGGUGCUGGAAGGUUAAGGGGAGAGGUUAGCGGUAACGCGAAGCUUUGAACUUAAGCCCCAGUAAACGGCGGCCGUAACUAUAACGGUCCUAAGGUAGCGAAAUUCCUUGUCGGGUAAGUUCCGACCCGCACGAAAGGCGUAAUGAUUUGGGCACUGUCUCGACAAUGCACCCGGUGAAAUUGAAAUACCAGUGAAGAUGCUGGUUACCUGCGCCAGGACGGAAAGACCCCAUGGAGCUUUACUCCAGCUUGAUACUGGGAUUCGAUAUUGCAUGUACAGGAUAGGUGGGAGACUAGGAAGCGGUGACGCCAGUUGCCGCAGAGUCGCUGUUGGGAUACCACCCUUGCAGUAUUGGAUUUCUAACCAGCAGCCGUGAACCGGCUGGGGGACAAUGUCAGGUGGGGAGUUUGACUGGGGCGGUCGCCUCCGAAAGGGUAUCGGAGGCGCUCAAAGGUUCCCUCAGAAUGGUCGGAAACCAUUCGAAGAGUGCAAAGGCAGAAGGGAGCUUGACUGCGACACCGACGGGUGGAGCAGGUACGAAAGUAGGACUUAGUGAUCCGGUGGUAUAAAGUGGGAUUGCCAUCGCUCAACGGAUAAAAGCUACCCUGGGGAUAACAGGCUUAUCACUCCCAAGAGUUCACAUCGACGGAGUGGUUUGGCACCUCGAUGUCGGCUCAUCGCAUCCUGGGGCUGGAGUAGGUCCCAAGGGUUGGGCUGUUCGCCCAUUAAAGCGGUACGCGAGCUGGGUUCAGAACGUCGUGAGACAGUUCGGUCCCUAUCCGGCGUGGGCGUAGGAUAUUUGAGAGGAGCUGACCUUAGUACGAGAGGACCGGGUUGGACUGGCCGCUGGUGAAUCUGUUGUUCUACCAAGAGCAUGGCAGAGUAGCCAAGCCGGGAAGGGAUAAACGCUGAAGGCAUCUAAGCGUGAAGCCCCCCUCAAGAUGAGAUAUCCCAUAACGUCAAGUUAGUAAGACCCCUUGAAGACGAC
rnacentral:rRNA from 1 species